GGGGUCAUAGCUCAGUUGGGAGAGCGCCUGCCUUGCAAGCAGGAGGUCGAGGGUUCGAACCCCUUUGAUUCCA
rnacentral:tRNA from 1 species